rnacentral:rRNA from 1 species
UUCCGCUCAGAACGAACGCUGGCGGCAGGCUUAACACAUGCAAGUCGAACGCCCCGCAAGGGGAGUGGCAGACGGGUGAGUAACGCGUGGGAAUCUACCGUACCCUACGGAAUAACGCAUGGAAACGUGUGCUAAUACCGUAUACGCCCUACGGGGGAAAGAUUUAUCGGGGUAUGAUGAGCCCGCGUUGGAUUAGCUAGUUGGUGGGGUAAAGGCCUACCAAGGCGACGAUCCAUAGCUGGUCUGAGAGGAUGAUCAGCCACAUUGGGACUGAGACACGGCCCAAACUCCUACGGGAGGCAGCAGUGGGGAAUAUUGGACAAUGGGCGCAAGCCUGAUCCAGCCAUGCCGCGUGAGUGAUGAAGGUCUUAGGAUUGUAAAGCUCUUUCACCGAUGAAGAUAAUGACGGUAGUUCGAGGAAGAAGCCCCGACA